GAGAGAAAAAAAAUAAAUGUGCCUUUUACUUUCUGCUACUAGCAGGCGAAAUGCAGUCACAUUAGCUAGACAGUGACUUGCAGAAACAUUUAUUUUAUCCACAAAAUGUCUGAUAGUGUGUCUGUCUGUGUAGUGGAUGCAGUGUGCUUGUUUAAGUAGUGGAUGCAGUGUGUGUGUGUGUGUAGUGCAGCCAUGUCAAACUAAUAUUUAUGUGGCCCGGGCCGCGGCGAGGGAGCCCUUAGUGUAAAAAACAGGUCGCAAGAGUAUUCUGAGAACGGACAGCAACUGAAAUAGCCUGCCCUUCGGUCUUUGUGUAUGGGUGUAUGGCUGUUGUGACGGAUUGCACUUCGCCACUAAGUUUUGGAGAGGACUACUUGCUAGCCUUUUACCUUUUGACUAUGGCCCCUGUGACUUAUUUUGUUCUAAGACAUUAUUUCUGCCUAUUGGUAUUGUGGACACUGGCUCUUUAAACUUCCUAAGUAGUCGAAAUGGCACUUCGGAUACAGCUGAAGUCGUCGAAGUGACCCCCAUUCAUAUAGUCGAACACUUGGCGAACACUCGAAUUCAUGGAACUCAAAUCAGACACGUGACAGCACGAACACCACUGAACUUUACCUUCGCCAUACUUCAACACUUUGACGGGAAUCGAAGUGCGUUCGACAAUUCGAACGCCACUUUAACUUUGACUAUUUGCAUGACCGGCCCCCGUUCGUGCAUUCGAACAGAACUUAGUAAUGGAAAUAGACCGGCCGCACAGCCUAAUUCUCUGGAACUGUUUUGGGCAUGAAAAUGUGCCUGCAGUCGGUCAAAUGUGACUUCCACAAAACUUUUGAACCCCUGCUCUUAUCUGGGUGAUUGUUCAAUAUGUUGUUCACCCAGGUCAGGGCUAUCCAGGGAUGUAUAAUUGUGGGGAUACGUGGUGUUGUGGUGACAUUCUGUCAUCAAACUAAUAUGGUGACCAGGGAUCAUGUGACCAAGCUCAUGUAUGCCUUUCUUACAGUGGGAUAAGCUUUACCUUUUGAUAUGGUAAUUGGGUAAUUCAAUACCUUUACAAGUCAGGAAAGAGGUAACCACUACCCCUAUCUCCAUUCCUCCCUGUUCCUUCUUGGCUGUGCUACUGAGCAGUCCCUUAAGCAGACAUGGCCUAAUUUCUAUCAUGGUGAACUGUGAGUGGGAUUUUAUAAGAUGUAGUUGUUAUUGUUAGUUAGGUUGUUGUUGCUGUUGUUGGUGGUAUAGUUAGGUAGAUUGUGUGUCAUUAUUUGUAUGUUGUUGUUGUUUUGUCUCUGAAUAAAUAUUUGUUAAAGUAGACGGACCACAGUUUAUAUGUGUAUGCGUACAUAAUCAUUUAUAGAGUUUGGUAAUUUACCACAGGUGUUUUGGGGUGUUUUCUGUGUUUUGGGUAAAAUGUUAUAUUUCCUGCCUGUGGAUAAUUAAGCUAUUCCAUUAGCUAGCUUAAUUAUAUCACAGGCAGAGGGGAGGGCUUGCUGACUGUAUGUGGGAGUGUUACUGUGUUAAUUAUUGUUCCCAUUGGUUUGUGUCCCUUUUGUCCCUGUGUUCCAUCAGGUCCAGGGGGUGUGCCUCUGGCCUGAAUAUGUGUAUAAAAGAAAUGCCUUUGUGCUCAUGAAAGAGACCUUCUUACCCGCAACUCGCAGCCUUGUCUCGUGUUGUAGGGAACAGCUAUAACUGCAAUAUCACUGCUAGCUCUUGUAAGAGCUCUCUUCAGCUAUACUCUCCUGGAGGAGAGGUCCUUCCCAC